rnacentral:rRNA from 1 species
AUUGCACAAUGGGGGAAAGCCUGAUGCAGAAACGCCGCGGGAGGGAUGAAGGCCUUCGGGUUGUAAAGCUCUGUCUUCUGGGACGAUAAUGACGGGACCAGAGGAGGAAGCCACGGCUAACUACGUGCCAGCAGCCGCGGUAAUACGUAGGUGGCAAGCGUUGUCCGGAUGUACGGGGCGUAAAGGAUGCGUAGGCGGAUACUUAAGUCAGAUGUGAAAAUCCCGGGCUUAACUUGGGAACUGUAUUUGAAACUGGGUAUCUAGAGUGCGGGAGAGGCAAGUGGAAUUCAUAGUGUGGCGGUGAAAUGCGUAGAGAUUAGGAAGAACACCAGUGGCGAAGGCGACUUUCUGGACCGUAACUGACGCUGAGGCAUGAAAGCGUGGGGAGC